AUUCGACACGACAGAGUCGCCUGAACAUAGGCACACACUUUGAAUGGAGAGAAAAAAGCGAUAAGCGUAUUCGCCGUGUGUUAAAAAAAAGUAUUUUGUGUUUUGAUAAAGAAAAAAUGUUCCGAUAAAAAAAUGAAAAUUGAUGAUCGAGAAUUUUGAAAUUGAUUAGGAAUUUAAAUAUUCUAUGCAUUCAGUGUGUUUCGUUCGCUUUGUAACACGGUUUUUUUGGUUUGUUUGUGUCGAUAAAAAAUGAAGCAGGACAAAUGUCAACGAGAAAACCAUAACACGACCAUUUUUUUACCGCUGCCAAAACAAUCAAAUUCCAAUUUUAAAAAAUGCUCAUUCCUUUUUUUACCACUUCGUCUAUGAUUUGUUCUAUGCAUUUCAUAUUUUUUCUGGUCGUUUUUGUGUGUUGCAAACAUUAAAUUUUUUUGUCACCGUAGUUUUUUUUUUUGGUGUUCAGUAUUUUGUUUCGAAUUAAUUUCACUUUGUAGAACAUUGUUUGUCUAUCGCUUGAAAUCAAAGAGAAAAACGCAUCGCGUAGAAAUUCUCCAAAAAACAAUGAAUUGGUAUCAGAAGUGUGCAUGCAUCGGAUUCGUUUCGGUCGUUUAUCUGAGCAUGAGUAUAGCGGAAUUAUGCAAUAAUGAGAAUUUCUUUCAAUGUCAUUCGGAUAAGAGGUGCAUCGACUCAUCGUUAAGAUGCAAUCAAGUAUUUGACUGUGACGAUCAACAAAAUUGCGAUUGUUGUUCCAAUGAAAAACACGCAAAAUGUCAUCCCAAUCAGUUCCAAUGUUCGGAUGGAACGUGCAUCGAUUCGAAGCGUGUGUGUAAUGGACAUAAAGAUUGUUCUUCAGGCGACGAGGAGAACAAUUGCCUGAAAUCUGAAACGAAAAUUUGCCGCUUAGGUCAGUUCAAAUGCUCAAAUGGACAGUGCAUUCCGAAGGCGUAUGUUUGCGAUGGAACUGCUGAUUGUUCGAAUGACGAGGAGAAUUGUCUCACCAAAAAUGGCACUUGUGGCUCGGACGAGUUCACCUGCCAUGACAAAAUCAGGUGCAUUCGUCAUGAUCAAAGGUAUAAAAAGAGCCAAAACUGAAUGAAAGAACCAAAUAUCGUAGAAUUUGAUUGAGACAAAAACGAUUGUGCUUAUUCCAAAUGCAAUUCGAUCAUCGAUUGUGCCGACGGCAGCGAUUUCAUGGAGUUUUGACAGAAUUCAGUCUGAAAGAAGUUUUUAUUUCUUACGUUCAUUUCAAUAGACCAUCAUCAACAUACAAUUUUCAUUUUUAUAAAUAGAAGUCCUCGCUCAUUCAUAUAGAUAAUUAAGGUUUUCAAAACAAUACAUAAGCAAUAAAAAUUGGUUUCAGACUUUAAUCAAAGUCGGGGAGCAAAUAACACCC